AACGCACAUUGCGCCCUGUGGUAUUCCGCAGGGCAUGCCUGUUCGAGCGUCAUUACAACCCUCAAGCUCUGCUUGGUGUUGAGUCACACCGGUAACGGUCGGCUCUAAAAUCAGUGGCGGUGCUGUCAGGCCCUAAGCGUAGUAAUAUUUCUCGCUACAGGGUCCUGGUACGUGCUCGCUAGACAACCCCCCCAUUCUAUGGUUGACCUCGGAUCAGGUAGGGAUACCCGCUGAACUUAA
rnacentral:misc_RNA from 1 species